rnacentral:misc_RNA from 1 species
CGAGUGAAGCGGCAACAGCUCAAAUUUGAAAUCUGGCUCUCGGGCCCGAGUUGUAAUUUGUAGAGGAUGCUUUUGAUGCGGUGCCUUCCGAGUUCCCUGGAACGGGACGCCAUAGAGGGUGAGAGCCCCGUCUGGUUGGAUGCCAAAUCUCUGUAAAGCUCCUUCGACGAGUCGAGUAGUUUGGGAAUGCUGCUCUAAAUGGGAGGUAUAUGUCUUCUAAAGCUAAAUACCGGCCAGAGACCGAUAGCGCACAAGUAGAGUGAUCGAAAGAUGAAAAGCACUUUGAAAAGAGAGUUAAAAAGUACGUGAAAUUGUUGAAAGGGAAGCGUUUAUGACCAGACUUGGGCUUGGUUAAUCAUCUGGGGUUCUCCCCAGUGCACUUUUCCAGUCCAGGCCAGCAUCAGUUUUCGCCGGGGGAUAAAGGCUUCGGGAAUGUGGCUCUCUCCGGGGAGUGUUAUAGCCCGUUGCGUAAUACCCUGGCGGGGACUGAGGUUCGCGCAUCUGCAAGGAUGCUGGCGUAAUGGUCAUCAACGACCCGUCUUGAAACACGGACCAAGGAGUCGUCUUCGUAUGCGAGUGUUCGGGUGUCAAACCCCUACGCGUAAUGAAAGUGAACGCAGGUGAGAGCUUCGGCGCAUCAUCGACCGAUCCUGAUGUUCUCGGAUGGAUUUGAGUAAGAGCAUACGGGGCCGGACCCGAAAGAAGGUGAACUAUGCCUGUGUAGGGUGAAGCCAGAGGAAACUCUGGUGGAGGCUCGCAGCGGUUCUGACGUGCAAAUCGAUCGUCAAA